CACAGAGUUAGCCGAUGCUUAUUCCCCGGAUACCGUCAUUGCUUCUUCUCCGGGAAAAGAAGUUCAUGACCCGUAGGCCUUCUACCUUCACGCGGCAUUGCUCCGUCAGGCUUUCGCCCAUUGCGGAAAAUUCCCCACUGCUGCCUCCCGUAGGAGUCUGGGCCGUGUCUCAGUCCCAAUGUGGCCGUCCACCCUCUCAGGCCGGCUACUGAUCGUUGCCUUGGUGUGCUUUUACCACUCCAACUAGCUAAUCAGACGCGGGUCCAUCUCAUACCAGAUUUCUCCUUUUCACACAAAAACAUGCGUCCUCGUGCGCUUAUGCGGUUUUACCACCAGUUUCCCGAUGCUAUCCCCCUGUAUGAGGCAGGUUGCCCACGCGUUACUCACCCGUCCGCCACUAAGAUACUUCUCUUUCACCUCGAAAAGCUUCCAAGCAAUAUCUCCGUUCGACUUGCAUGUGUUAGGCACGCCGCCAGCGUUCAUCCUGAGCCAGGAUCAAACU
rnacentral:rRNA from 1 species